GCGUCUCCACCACUCAGACUGCAUAAACAUGCCAGUGAUUCUCAUGGUUUAUACAGUUCAUACACAAACUAGUCUGUUCAAAGUAGAAAGUUUCCCUUUCUCAGAAGUUACUAAACUGCUUCACUAGUUACAGAUUAUUGAAAGCUGUAUCUUAUCAAAAGCAACCCUGUUAACUGGGGUAACAUCUUUUUAUAACUACAGGUUAACCCAAAGUGUGACACUAUUUUGACUUGGAGCUUUUAAGUAAAAGCACCACUUCUAAAUUGUGGGACAGGUGUAGAACACAGGGCUGUUUUAAUUGGGGUCUAUAAAUUUAAUGGUUCUCUAUAAACAUUUUGCUGCUCAGGCUUAAUUAAUACUUGUACACAAAACACAGUAUUUGAAAACUUCAUUUAGAAGUCAGGGGUAUUGCUAGCUAUUUCAUUUUACUCUUUUUAAAAUAAUACUGACGUUUGUGUAUGAGGCAUUUCACUAACCUUGAAUCAUUGGAUCUUAAACAUGAUAAGUAGAAUAUCUUGUUCUCUACAGUAUAUGGGCUAUAGUUCCUGUCUAACUAAAUACAGUGAUUCAAAGAUUAAAAAGUCAGUGUUUCGGGAGUUUUCCCCACUUUUGGAUAAAUGAGUUUUUUGGGGGGAGGGGGUUGUUUUUUUUAUUCUUUGGGUUUUUUGUUUUUUAAAGCAUAAUGCUGUAAAAACUGUCCAAGUUUCUGUUUUGCUGGUGAUUGGUUUAAAACUGAUUUUUAUGUAUCCAAAUGCUAGCACAAAUUAGAAAACUGUCCCGGUGACUGUAGUAGCUAAUGUAACACAUUUGUAUAAACUUCUUAUAUAGUAUUUAAAUUAAUUCAGAUGAAAUUUUAUUUCUUGAAAAUAAUUAUUUCCUUUUUGUUUAUUAGCAUGUGUAUAAACACAAGUCACAUGUUCAUAAAUAAAGUUAACAUUCUUUUAGCCUUGUGUGUUCCCUGGCAUGUCUGUAUUACAUUUAUAAAAAGUUUAUGGUAAGCUUAUUCAGAUUUCUCUUCCUUUGAGUGCCUUAAACAGUUUUAAUUUUAGAUAGAAUUAA
rnacentral:lncRNA from 1 species